GACGAACGCUGGCGGCGUGCCUAACACAUGCAAGUCGAACGGAAAGGCCCUGCUUUUGUGGGGUGCUCGAGUGGCGAACGGGUGAGUAACACGUGAGUAACCUGCCCUUGACUUUGGGAUAACUUCAGGAAACUGGGGCUAAUACCGGAUAGGAGCUCCUGCUGCAUGGUGGGGGUUGGAAAGUUUCGGCGGUUGGGGAUGGACUCGCGGCUUAUCAGCUUGUUGGUGGGGUAGUGGCUUACCAAGGCUUUGACGGGUAGCCGGCCUGAGAGGGUGACCGGCCACAUUGGGACUGAGAUACGGCCCAGACUCCUACGGGAGGCAGCAGUGGGGAAUAUUGCACAACGGGCGGAAGCCUGAUGCAGCAACGCCGCGUGCGGGAUGACGGCCUUCGGGUUGUAAACCGCUUUCGCCUGUGACGAAGCGUGAGUGACGGUAAUGGGUAAAGAAGCACCGGCUAACUACGUG
rnacentral:rRNA from 1 species